rnacentral:tRNA from 1 species
GCGCCCGUAGCUCAGUUGGAUAGAGCGCUGCCCUCCGAAGGCAGAGGCCAGAGGUUCGAAUCCUCUCGGGCGCA